GAUCAUGGCUCAGGAUGAACGCUGGCGGCGUGCCUAACACAUGCAAGUCGAACGAAGCUUGACGGAUUAUUUCUUCGGAAUGAAACCAGAUAUGACUUAGUGGCGGACGGGUGAGUAACACGUGAGCAACCUGCCUUUCAGAGGGGAUAACGGCUGGAAACGGUCGCUAAUACCGCAUGAUGUGUUCGGAUGGCAUCAUCUGAACAUCAAAGAUUUAUCGCUGAAAGA
rnacentral:rRNA from 1 species